GGCACAGUGGAGCAGUGGGUAGCGCUGUUGCCUCACAGCAAGAAGGUUCUGGAUUUGAAUCCGGCCUGAGCCU
rnacentral:tRNA from 1 species